rnacentral:tRNA from 1 species
GGGGGCGUGGCGAAAUUGGUAGACGCACUGGAUUUAGGUUCCAGCGGAGCGAUCCGUGAGAGUUCGAGUCUCUCCGCCCCCACCA